rnacentral:rRNA from 1 species
GGACUACCCGGGUAUCUAAUCCCGUUUGCUCCCCUGGCUUUCGUGCCUCAGCGUCAGGAAAUGUCCAGAGACUCGCCUUCGCCACUGGUGUUCCACUUGAUAUCUACGCAUUUCACUGCUACACCAAGUAUUCCAGUCUCCCCUCCAUUCCUCGAGCAAGAUAGUAUCCAACGCAGUUUCCGAGUUAGGCUCGGAGAUUUCACGUCAGACUUACCUCACCGCCUACGCACCCUUUACGCCCAGUGAAUCCGAACAACGCUUGGGACCUCUGUAUUACCGCGGCGGCUGGCAC